AACUUGAUUCCAUUUUAUUGAUUCAAUGAUGUUAUUGACUAGCAAAGAAUCCACCCUAAAUCACUCUUCUGUGCUCAUUGCAUCACUUUAUUUAUAACUAAAUGCUUCCUGAAGUAAAGUAGAAAACAACUACUUUGCUCUCCGUAUUUAUGCUUCUCAACAGAGAUCCCAUAGUAGACUUUCUUACAUUUGUGGUAAACUACUUUUAACCAUGCAUCAAGGCAAUAAAAAUAGUUUUCAUAUGAUUAUGCCUUUGGAAAUCUGGCACAAAAUGUGAUUUCACUUAGUGAGUGUGGUGUGACAGCUGUAAAUUGCCACAUUCCAGCUUAAUGCUUCAAUAUUGUAUUUUCAGUGUGGCUGAGUUGCUGGUUUUUUCUGGCUUUGAUUGCAUUUUCCACAGAGAAGCUGGCACUCAGACAAAUCCCCUGAGACACACUCACAAAGAGAUGCUGACAGAUCUCUGUCUCUCAGAGGUUCUAACUGGGCAGUGUUCCAUCCAGACAUGCUGGGCAUGAGCCUGGGUUAUCUGUGUCUGUUGGCCUAUGGGAGGGUCUUCUCAUUUUGUUUUGCCAACAGCCAAGAGAUAUAGAGAGCCCCUUGGGAUGGGAGUUCUGUCCUGGGGCCAACAUGCUCUGGUAGGAAGGCACUGGACCAGUUUAAUAGGGCAAAGAGUCUUAUUCAAAGAAGCCAGAAGUAUUUGAAGAAUCAAAUUUGUCCACCCAGUAUGUGGGUGGGUCAUUGACUAAGUGCUUAAUAAAUAAUUGGUAGAGUGUUCAGGCAUUCUCCUCAAUACUAGUGAUGUAUAGCUGAAUACCUAAUUCAAAGAACUCACCCUAACUUGUUUGGGGAAGUAGCCUGUAGUGGCCAACCCUUUUUUGGCUGCCCCUUCCCAACCCUAAGACUGCUUAUAACCCAUUCAAUGAAUUUUCAAGUAGUUAUUAUCAAGUACUUCUUAUGGGCCAGCGACUGUGGUCUGGCUAAGAUGUGCAGAAAUGAGCAAGACAGAUUUUUCUAGGAUUAGUAUUGUACACACCAAAAUGUUAUAAUGGUUAUCUUAAGGGGGUAGAAUUAGAUGGAGACAUGGUGAAGGACACUUAAUUUUUCAUUUUGAACUUUACUAUUUGAACUUUUUGUGACAAGCUGUUGGCCAUGAUACUUUUUUGUAUCUCGACAAAAAUCUUCCCUGGGUUCCUGGAUGGCUUAGUUGGUUAAGUGUUGGACUUCGGCUCAGGUCAUGAUCUCACAGUUCGUGAGUUCAAGCCCCAUAUUGGGCUUUGUACUGUCAGUGCUUCAGAUCCUCUGUUUCCCUCUCUCUCUGUCCCUCCUCCUCCUCCUCCUCUCUCUCUCUCUCUCUCUCCAAAAUAAAUAAACAUAUUUUAAAAAGUCUUCUGAGCAACUGUUUGUGCCACUCUUCUGAGCUUUGAGAACACAGCAAUGAAUGAAGCAGAAAAAGUGCCCUGUUCUCACAGAACUUCCAUUCCAACUGGAGAAGCACCACAAAACAAAACAAAAUAGUCCACACAAGUAUGCCAUAUAAUUAUGAUCAAUGACAUGUCCUAUGGAAAAAAUAAAUACUUUUUAAAACUAAAAGAGUUAUUCUGAUUUGUUCAGAUACUCUUGACUCUUUGGAGACCAGGAUUCUUCACUGGCCUGGGCAAAUAGCAUUGACGGAAGUGGGCCAGAGGGCCAACCCUCAAAGCCUUGAACCAUUUGGACUCAUUCUGCACUCUUUCCAGCCAGCAUAAAUGAAAAGGCAGUCUGAGCUGCCUACAUUCUUUGGGCAUAAGAGUGAUGUCAGUCCAGAGAGUCUGACCUGGCUAGUUGCUCUUGAUUGGAGCCCAGGCCUUUCCCCACCCAGUCUGGGGACAGAACUCACUGCUGUGCCAGUAUUUGAAGGUACUGACCCUGCCUACCCCACAUUCAUUGCCUGCUGCUUCUUUCCAACUUCACCAGCUGGUUUCCAGGGACCUGAUCCUGCUGGCUUUUGGCCUGCCCUGUCUGACAGCUGCCUGAACACUGGGACUUAAAAAUUAGUUCUAAAUGCCUGAGUCCAGCCACCACAUUCCAAUCUAUUUUUAGGACCAAUCCUCCUUCUUUGGCUCCCUGAGAAACCACUCUUCUUUUUCUGUUUCUUAAACUACUUCCAUUCCCAGUUCAGACUGAGGUCUCCUCACCUGGGAAUGCAAAGCUUAGGGUUUCCAGUUCCCGCUCACCAGCCAAGGAGAAGAUGCUGUUUUCACUCAAUUUCUCUAGUCUGAGAAGAGAUGCCCACCUUAUCCCACUUGAACUCCAACAGACACCUUGCACCAGGUUGCCCUACAUGGAGGCACUUUCACCCAGUUUUGCCUCUGACUUCUUGUGCCAUCAUUGCCUCCUGUGGGUACACUCUCUUCAUCCUCCUUUGGCAUUGAAAACCUGGUUUGAGCUGCUGCUUCUGAGGGAUACCCUUGUCACCUGGUGAGCAGAGAAGAGUUAAUAUAGCAGACCUGAGACUGCUCUCCAUAGAAGAGCCUGCUUGAAAGGUUGGCCUGUGGCUAGCGUCUGGUAACUUGGAUUUCAGGAAGGUUUCAGCAUUCCUGUGAGAAGGGUGGCUCACUGUGUCCCAACUGUUUGUAUAAAUAACAUGCUUUAUACUGAACAAACUGCUUUCCUUGUGGGUAUCUGGGAUUCUGGCUAGGCAUAGAGUGCCUAUAUGACCAACUUCCAACAAAAACUUUGGGUCCUGAGUCUCUAAUAGGCUUCCCUGGUAGACAACAUUUCAUACAUGUUGUCACAAUUUGUUGCUGGAGGAAUUAAGCAUGUUCUGUAUGACUCCACUGGGAGAGAGAACCCUCAGAAGCGUGUAUCUAGUGUCCUCUGGACUUUACCUCAUGUACCUUUCCUUUUGCUGAUUUUGGUUUGUAUCAUUUUGCUGUAAUAAAUCCUAGCCAUGAGUAUGACUA